CCGAGCUCGGCAGCCAUCUUGGAUAGCAGUCCCUGCUCCCAGCCAGACUUUUUCGCCUUGAGCGCCGACCCCAGUCCACUGUGCUUAACCAGACCACUCUCAACCCUGCACGACACUCCCGGCAACCCCCUGGAUGUCGUCUGACCCGGGAGGAGGCCGCGAGGCCGCCUCCACCCCCCUACCUCUCCCAUCCGGCGCCUCACCCGCCGGACCCCAGCAACAGCUCCCUCCCGUGGAGGACAUGGACGCCGCCACCCUCACCUCCAAACGGCCACGCUCUCCAAACGGCCAACCCUAGAGGACCUGCUGGGCAGCGACACCCUCAACCCCAACACAGCCUUCCAAGUCAUCAAGUGUACGCAAACCUUCCUGCAGAAGUCGGGGCAACUCGACAGAAUCUAACUCCACCCUGGUGACAGAACGACAAACAAAAACCUGAUACCAACUACCACUGACGGGGCUCUAGAGGCUGUGGCCCCACAGCCUAACUAGCCCCAUAAAACCACCCAAGAAGAAGAAGACCUUGCAGAGAAGGUGAGGGCUCGGGGAGGAUGAUCACGGCUGCUUUUCUCAUUUUAAUAUCAUUCAUACUCCAGGACUUUGGGAGAAAGAAGAGAAGCCAAAAGAAAAUAUCAAAGUCAGUGAUAAGCCUAAGGAAAACAUAAGCUGUUGCAACCACGUUAACAUACACAUAAAUAUUCCCAAAUUUUGGUGAGCCU